UCAAGAGGAGCUGAUGCUUCUGGGCUUCAGGUGUGGAAGGAACUGCCCUCCAGCUGGGAGGGGACGGGCUUAGAGCACCGGAGACCGGCCGUUCCCCUAGAAGGGAAUGGCAGGGAGAAACGUGGAAAUGAAGGGAUGCCGAGGACGACGUUCGCAGGACUUCCAGCUCCCACAGGGUCUGGGGGCAAAUCUCUCCUCUUUCUCCCCACGAAUAAGGUUUUGAGGGAAAUUACAGAUCCCUCCCUCCUCUUCCCAAGAAGGGGAUCCACCUGAGGGUGAAAUGAGAACACCUUGGGGAUUCACCUGACUGACCAAGAUAUGAGUCAUGUGACCUGGAUGAACUUCACUUUCCUCAUCUGUCAGUGAAGAUAAUGUUUAUACCAUCUCACAAAGUUGUUUUGAAGAAAACACUGUAAAAAAAAUUUAAAAAUUAAAAAAGAAAAAAAGAAAACUCUGUAUAAGUCUUAAAGUUUUAUACAAAUAUGAAAAUUAUUGGGUUGGGUUAAAGUAAGCAGACUAAAAGUUUAUAGUUGUUCACUGGAGAGUGAGGAUGGUUCAUUGGGAGAAGCAAGUUGUACUUGGAUUUCAGAGUCCUAGAUUCAGAACCUGCCUCUGAUUCUCAUUAGGUAUCUGACUGCAAAUAAGUUACUUAGCUUCUAAGACGGUUCUAUAACAUGUGUAAAAUAAGGACAAUAAAAUGUAUAUUUAUUUAUCUCAGAGUUGCAAGGAUCACAUUUUAAAAGUACAUAAACUGUUCUGCAAAUUUUUAAAGUAAUAUUAAAAUCAAAUUGUUACUUAAUUCUGGAAAGAUAAAGACAAGAUCUAACUAAAGUGUGUCAAUCAAGCUGUAGCAGAAUUACAGGGUACCCCCAUGAAGCUUGAAAGACAAAUUUGGAACAAGAUGAAGGGCAUUUUAUAUAUAUACAUAUAUAUAUAUAUAUAUAUAUAUAUAUGUGUGUGUGUAUAUUGUAAAGGAAACUGAGGAGAGAUCCUCCCCAGCCCCUGGUGUAACUGCCUCAUGACCUGACAUAAAGAAUGUAAAUUGAAGUUAGCAUGCAUGGCUGGGGGUACCAUGGAAACAGAACAUUAAACACCUAACAGAUUAUGUUACCUGGGAAAACAAUACUUAUCUCAAGGAACAUUUUUCUUGAUGAACGAUGUGUAUCUGUCCAGGGACCUGAUCACUCCUUGGAAACUUACACAACAAACAGGUAGCUGGAGCUCUGAUUGAGCUCCAACCUUUGUCCACAUGUGUGCGUAUCCCUGGUCUGAGCGCUCACCAAGGAGACGUACACAAAACAAAACGCUAAGGUUGUUUUUUCUCUGGUUUACGUAAUUAUAAAAAGGGUCAUUUGAAAGGGAGAUUUUGGAGUACUUUGAUGCAGAGAUUGGGAUACCGACUCUCUGCCAGAGGCGGGAUCGAGUGCAUAGUUACCUUUGUGUCCUGGGGUAGGAUGCUCCCCGUUGCCUCCCUGACUAGACCUAUUGGACCAUCUCCAGUCUCCUGGGUUCUAUGGGUAUUUGAGCUCACCUGGUUAAUGAGUGUGUAUCCUUUCUUUUCUUAUUCCCCCUUUCCUUAAUGUUAAUUAUUACUUAUUGCAUUGAAUGUUAUUCUUACCUUUAUUGCUUGUGUGGUUUGUAAUUGUUAUUAAUCAUUGUA